GCCUGAGGUACAAGCGUGACUCACCCUGGGAAGUCCAGAACCUGUUUUGGUUUAAAGUGUAAUUUGGAAAAAUAUCUUGUACCCUGAUGGAUUAACACUUGCCCUGACUGAUAAGCACCUGUACCAUUGACGUAAUUGAUGGAUUUAUACCUUGAAUCCCUGUACCUGAUUGGUAAGUACCUGGAUUGCCGUGAGGUAAACCGUCUGGCUAUAAUAACGGGUCCCGAACCUCAGACAUCGAUCGACUUGAUCUGAAGCUCCCCUGCCCCGUGCCAGACAGAAGACGGCUGCUACCCGAUCGAGCCGCGACCGAACUUCGGGAGACCUAGGGCGGUGCAGCUGCGAACUCUGUCUCCUGACCCGACAUCGCCAGCUACCAGUCGGCACCACAACUGCCUUCAGGGGAAGCCACAGUUUAGGAUCCCGUCAAGCCUGUACCCACAGCACCAAGAAUUUGUAAAAGAUCUAACUGCAGGAUGGUGUUAUACUUAAUGCUUCCCUCUGAGGGCCAACUCUCUCCAUUCACUAGUUGGUACGGACGAUGGAGGCCAGGCCUGAGGGCAAAAACAACCAGGUGCUUCUUCUUUAAGAGUAAAAAAAUCUUUUGAAGAUACUGAAACAUUUGCAGGUGAAAUUACAUGCCUAAGAUUUGCUUCAAAAUAACCAGAGAGCCAGUUGUUGGUGGUUGAGAUUUGAAUGGAACAAGACUGGUUAUGUGUUCUCGGGCACAAGUGGCCUUCCUUUCCUGCUGAGGUGCAUGGGUACAGCAGACCGUUCUCAGCCACUCAUCGGCCAGUCUUCUCUGGGCCUUUGAGAGAACAGAAGGUGGUAAGUCUGGUUGGGACUAAUAUACAUAGUAGUUGAGGCUAUGCAGUCACUGAAAGAGAAGCAGAUGUCU